GACAGAGAUAGGGGGAUCCCUGCGACUCAACCUGCCAGCCUAGCUAGUUCCGAGCCAGGUGAGAGACUCUGUCCCAAAAAAUCAAAAAGGAUAGCAUCCAGAAAGGAAUAUCACCCACGGUUGCUCUCCACAGGCCCAGCUGAACCACUGUCCAGAGUAAUCAGAAUCCCCAAAUUAGACGGAUGGGAAUGGAUGAAAGUAAAUCGGGGAGGCGAUGUCCACCAAUGGUUAUUUAUUAGGAAUAGAAACUGAGCUUUGAACGUCUCUUCGUCCGUGACCCAGAACGAAGCCAGUUCAAGCUGGAGUCGUUCUGAAAGGGUCUGAAUUUCUGGGAGGACACGAAGCAAGCUGACCCACGCCACCUUCCCAGGCUCACAGUCUGACAUGGAGAUAGCACCUUUCCUACAGCUACAGAAAGCCAAUACGAUAACAGCCGAAUUAAAUU